rnacentral:rRNA from 1 species
UACCAGCACCCCGAGUGGUCGGGACGAUUAUUGGGCCUAAAGCAUCCGUAGCCGGUUCUGCAAGUCCCCCGUUAAAUCCAGCUGCUCAACAGAUGGGCCGCGGAGGAUACUACAGAGCUAGGAGGCAGGAGAGGCAAGCGGUACUCAGUGGGUAGGGGUAAAAUCCGUUGAUCCAUUGAAGACCACCAGUGGCGAAGGCGGCUUGCCAGAAUGCGCUCGACGGUGAGGGAUGAAAGCUGGGGGAGCAAACCGA